rnacentral:misc_RNA from 1 species
UCCCUACUAAAUUGAUUACUCAACGAGUACAGUGCAUACUGGGAUCUUAUGUCAAUUACCCCAAGCCACUAGAGCCCUCUUACCAAAUCAUCUCGUUCAUGUUACCCUCCUUUUUCAAUGCGCGCGUGCGAUAUUUGGAAGAGAGAACACUUUCUCUGCUUUUCACUGCGUUUUCCAUUUCCUUACCUAUGCCCUUCUCAGUAUAGAGCACAUCCACUGCUGAUUGUGCAUCUCUUAUAUAAUCAAACAUCAUCAUUUUAUAACUUUGAAU